CCUCAUUCCUUUGGGCCUACAUUCCCUAUUUCCCACGUCUCUCUGUCUACUUGUUAUCCUACCCAGCUAGGCCCAGGCACACGCUAUCUUGCAGGUACAAAACUCAAAAAUACCUGUGUUCGGUACUUUCCCAGCUCCUGGUCGGCUAACGAGCGAAUGUCUGCGUGACCUCUGUCAUGGAGCCAUUUCUCCACACUAUACUAUCAAAGUUUAAAGGUAAAUUAUUAUAUAUUAGGAGAUGGUGUAAAGUGUAUGUUGUAAUGUGUAGGAUAUAUACAAAGAUACGUACUUGAAAGUCCGUAGAGGAAACAAAUUUUUACACCUUCUGUUUGACUGUUUGUCAUAUAUUUGGUUUUAUUUCCCAGGGAUCAGUGAAUUUUAACUCUGGAGUCCUCUAUGCUAAGGAUGCUCAGCUUACAGAUGAUGAAAUGUUCAGUAAUGGUGAGUUUUUCACCUUCUCCUUCAUUGUUUUGCUCAUCUGAAUAAAAAAAAAAAAGGCAAGAUUAAAGAAAAAGCAAUAGUUUUAUUAUUUUUACCCUGUUAUGUCUGUUUCCUCAGUAUUUGCUGGAGCUGUGCUUACCCAAGGUUUGGGUAAAACAAGCUUUGGGUUCCCUCUGUCUCACUGGGAGUUGCCCAAUUCAGUUGCAUCUGGUGAAAUUCACCCUGAGACCUUACAGAACCAGCUCCAACUACGUGAGAGCCAUUUGCAGUUCUCUCCAGACGCCUGGAGAAUGGGUGACGUUUCUGAGGAUCCGGCGAGCGUGCUUCUGUCAAAACUCAGUCUGUGAAAUUUCUGGGGAAAACCCUUCUGUGUCCUGAAGGGUUCAAACUCUGGAUUUUUUGUCUUUGCAAAAUAUUGUGCAUUUCACUCUUUGGAACCUCUCAGAUGGUUCUUUGGUGCAGCACCACCCCAUGGGACACUUGGCUGCUGUCCUGAAGGGGUUGGUGGCUAGAAUUGUAAAUCCUGGAGAGUUUAUAAGUCUUCUGUCCCCAGGGAGGUAUCAUGCUUUGUUUACUUUUGUUCUGUUGGUUAGGUGCUGCUUCUCGUUGCAAGUACGAAUUUCAAACUGCCCUGUUCUUAUUUUAACUGUUUUCCUGGUUCUCUCCGUCCGGCAGGGAAAGACUCUCGUAUCCUUGUCGUCGGGCUCGGUGCUGUCCAAGAAGAUACAGAGACUAAAAAAAUCAUAAGAAGCAAAAUAUGACUGCAGGGAAAAGAAGCUGGAGAGAACAGAAGACUCAUCACGGCGGGACAGCGUGAGGACUGAAAGUGUAAGAAGAUGUGGAGGGAAACAGAGAAUCUGACAGGAGCAGCGAACGCACGAGUGCACGAAUUUUGCUUUUUGCUUGGAUGUAAACUCAGGAGUUGAAAGGAAUUUGGGAGUGAGAAGGGACAUUUCAGAAGGAGAAGAAGAAAAAGAAGUUGUUGUUGUUGCUACAGUCCUGGCAAAAGCUUUUGUUCUAGCUAAUAAAAGAAGUUAGUUUAAAAAACAAAAAGGAAAAAAUGUAGUG